AAGGUCAUCUGCAAAUUACAGUAGAGAAAUCCCCAUCUUCAGAAUUAUAUGCAGAAUGUCCCCAAAUGAAGUGGAUUUAGAGCAGAGCGUAGAGUGGAACCUGCUUACAAAAUACCCACGACGUGGCUAGGAGUUGGUGUUCCAAAUGUGGAAGAUGACCUAUUCCUGCCCAGAGAGAAUACAGUUUAAAGACAAAGGCAGAUGAAGGGCAGGUGGAAAGGGAUAAAACAUAAAAGCAUAGUGAUCAGGAACUACUAUAUGCAGGAAGGAGUAAAUUCCAGCAGACUGGACUGCUCUAGCUUGGUUAUUUUAGACACAAAGUUAAAAUUUUAAGGAUAAUAUUAUCUAAUGCUGAAGUUUAUGCAUCAUCUUUGUAUGCUGUUGGCUGUAAU